GGCUUCGUAGUGUAGUGGUUAUCACCUCGGAUUCUGAUCACUCAAUCAUCUUCCGGUAACGCCAGUUCGACUCUGGCCGAGGCCU